ACCAAACUAGGCGGGGAGGCCUCCCUGCACGAGAUUUCCCAACCACAUGGGGGGUGCAAGCCAGGGUUCCCUGAGCCUCUCUCUGCUGCUACCGUCAUCUCAGAAGACGCCUUGUGCUGACACAUGCAAUUCCUUCUCAGGGAAAACAGAGUACAAAGAACAACCGGAAGGUUAUGAGAACUGAAUCCAGACCUCGUGCGUGCUUCAUGGACCAGCCACACACCUGAGUUUCCACUCACUCUCUUUCCUCCGACGGCACCCCUGAGCCCAGGACUUUCAUACCGACUCUGGAACUGGCCCCAGAACGGGGCUAUUCUGACUUCCAGGAGCGUUAGAGUUGUCAGACAAUCAUCUCUCAUCCUCUGAGGAGCUGGAGUGUGAGCCAGAUAGGGGCAGAGUUCCACUCAAAUCAUUGCCACCUCUGAAUUAUCCAGAAAUCCAAAUUUCAAAAAACCAAGCAAAUGGGUACCAGUGAUUUAUUCAAAAUGAUUUUGGGACAACUAGGUAGCAAUCUGGAAAAAAAAGUCAGAGUCUUCCUUUAUUCUUCCAGGAGGCAGAAUUCCAAAUGUC